rnacentral:rRNA from 1 species
GACGAACGCUGGCGGCGUGCUUAACACAUGCAAGUCGAACGGAAAGGCCCUGCUUUUGUGGGGUGCUCGAGUGGCGAACGGGUGAGUAACACGUGAGUAACCUGCCCUUGACUUUGGGAUAACUUCAGGAAACUGGGGCUAAUACCGGAUAGGAGCUCCUGCUGCAUGGUGGGGGUUGGAAAGUUUCGGCGGUUGGGGAUGGACUCGCGGCUUAUCAGCUUGUUGGUGGGGUAGUGGCUUACCAAGGCUUUGACGGGUAGCCGGCCUGAGAGGGUGACCGGCAAAAUUGGGACUGAGAUACGGCCCAGAAUCCUACGGGAGGCAGCAGUGGGGAAUAUUGCACAAUGGGCGGAAGCCUGAUGCAGAAACGCCGCGUGCGGGAUGAAGGCCUUCGGGUUGUAAACAGAUUUCGCCUGUGACGAAGCGUGAGUGACGGUAAUGGGUAAAGAAGCACCGGCUAACUACGUG